AUGGAGGUUCGUGACAUUGUACAGGAGACAGGGAUCAAGACCAUCCCCAUGGAAAAGAAAUGCAAAAAAGCAAAAUGGCUGUCUGGGGAGGCCUUACAAAUAGCUGUGAAAAGAAGAGAAGCGAAAAGCAAAGGAGAAAAGGAAAGAUAUAAGCAUCUGAAUGCAGAGUUCCAAAGAAUAGCAAGAAGAGAUAAGAAAGCCUUCCUCAGCAAUCAAUGCAAAGAAAUAGAGGAAAACAAUAGAAUGGGAAAGACUAGAGAUCUCUUCAAGAAAAUUAGAGAUACCAAGGGAAUAUUUCAUGCAAAGAUGGGCACAAUAAAGGACAGAAAUGGUAUGGACCUAACAGAAGCAGAAGAUAUUAAGAAGAAGUGGCAAGAAUACACAGAAGAACUGUACAAAAAACAACUUCAUGACCCAGAUAAUCAUGAUGGUGUGAUCACUCAGCUAGAGCCAGACAUCCUGGAAUGUGAAAUCAAAUGGGUCUUAGGAAGCAUCACUACGAACAAAGCUAGUAGAGGUGAUGGAAUUCCAGUUGAGCUAUUUCAAAUCCUGGAAGAUGAUGCUGUGAAAGUGCUGCACUCAAUAGGCCAGCAAAUUUGGAAAACUCAGCAGUGGCCACAGGACUGGAAAAGGUCAGUUUUCAUUCAAAUCCCAAAGAAAGGCAAUGCCAAAGAAUGCUCAAACCACCGCACAAUUGCACUCAUCUCACAUGCUAGUAAAGUAAUGCUCAAAAUUCUCCAAGCCAGGCUUCAGCAAUACAUGAACUGUGAACUUCUUGAUGUUCAAGCUGGUUUUAGAAAAGGCAGAGGAACCAGAGAUCAAAUUGCCAACAUCUGCUGGAUCAUGGAAAAAGCAAGAGAGUUCCAGAAAAACAUCUAUUUCUGCUUUAUUGACUAUGCCAAAGCCUUUGACUGUGUGGAUCACAAUAAACUGUGGAAAAUUCUGAAAGAGAAGGGAAUAUCAGACCACCUGACCUACCUCUUGAGAAACCUGUAUGCAGGUCAGGAAGCAACAGUUAGAACUGGACAUGGAACAACAGACUGGUUCCAAAUAGGAAAAGGAGUAAGUCAAGGCUGUAUAUUGUCACCCUGCUUAUUUAACUUCUAUGCAGAGUACAUCAUGAGAAACGCUGGGCUGGAAGAAGCACAAGCUGGAAUCAAGAUUGCCGGGAGAAAUAUCAAUAACCUCAGAUAUGCAGAUGACACCACCUUUAUGGCAGAAAGUGAAGAGGAACUAAAAAGCCUCCUGAUGAAAGCGAAAGAGGAGAGUGAAAAAGUGGGCUUAAAGCUCAACAUUCAGAAAACAAAGAUCAUGGCAUCUGGUCCCAUCACUUCAUGGGAAAUAGAUGGGGAAAGAGUGGAAACAGUGUCAGACUUUAUUUUUGGGGGCUCCAAAAUCACUGCAGAUGGUGACUGCAGCCAUGAAAUUAAAAGACACUUACUCCUUGGAAGAAAAGUUAUGACCAACCUAGACAGCACAUUAAAAAGCAGAGACCUUACUUUGCCAACAAAGGUCCAUCUAGUCAAGGCUAUAGUUUUUCCAGUGGUCAUGUAUGGAUGUGAGAGUUGGACUGUGAAGAAAGCUGUGCACCAAAGAAUUGAUGCUUUUGAACUGUGGUGUUGGAGAAGACUCUUGAGAGUCCCUUGGACUGCAAGGAGAUCCAACCAGUCCAUUCUGAAGGAGAUCAGCCCUGGGAUUUCUUUGGAAGGACUGAUGCUAAAGCUGAAACUCCAAUACUUUGGCCACCUCAUGCGAAGAGUUGACUCAUUGGAAAAGACUCUGAUGCUGGGAGGGAUUGGGGGCAGGAGGAGAAGGGGGCGACAGAGGAUGAGAUGGCUGGAUGGCAUCACUGACUUGAUGGACCUGAGUCUGAGUGAACUCUGGGAGUUGGUGAUGGACAGGGAGGCCUGGCGUGCUGCGAUUCAUGGGGUCACAAAGAGUCGGACACGACUGAGCGACUGA
rnacentral:lncRNA from 1 species